GGUGAGCUACAGGUGUACUGGCAGAGAGGCGGCGGCACCUGCUGAGCUGUGACUGGCCGCACCAGGUGCCUCCUCCUGGGUGAUUGGCUGCAGCCGAUGUCAGUCAGGCAGGGAAAAGCUCCUUUUUGUAUUCAAUAUGGACUGGAUGGAGGCCUCUCUACACACAGAGGUGCAGGUUGAAAAAUGUUUCACCAUUUGGGAAAGCUACAUAGACUCUCUACCUGCUGCCACUAAGUUCAAACCUGCUUUCGAAGCUGAAUGUUAUUGUGUAAUCCCCAGUACAGAUUUGACAGCUUUUGACUUUGCUGUCUCCGUCUAUUUAAGGUUGUGAGGCCUGACCGUUGUGUCCAGUGUUCAAUCGAUAUGGAACAACAAAAAGGAAGAAGAAUGAAAAUUGGAUGGUGGCUCUGCUCUGUUUUCUCUUGCUAUUGGAGGAUCCUGUAGUUUCCCUAAUGAACAUUGAACUCUUCGAUUUCCUGUGAUGUUUAUGACAUAUUCUCCUAUAAAUGUACUUUGCAAUGAUUACCAUGCUUGACUUAUCUGUUAUCUAUUCUACUACCAUAUAAUUCUUGUAUUUUACCUAAUGUUUGUAUUAGCAUCGUCAAUUACUUCAAUAAACACAAUU